GCCCUUUGGAAUCUCUCUUCUCUUGGCAAGGUGGCCCGAUCAUUAUGCUGCAGAUUGAAAAUGAGUAUGGGAAUAUUGAAAACUCUUAUGGAC